UAGUCUGUGGACACCAAAGACUUGAACUUCGUGUUUUCCUUCCGCCAACCGUGACUUUGGUGCCAUUGUGAUCCACUUCAGCAAACUUAAGAGCAGGAUCAAUAUGACAGCUCACCUCGAGACUUUACCAAGACCCCCAGGGUCUAGGUGACGAGCAUAGUAAUUAACAAUGGAAGAAACGCCAACAGCAAGAGCAGAUUGGAAUAAAAGACUGAUUACCGGCCAAGCAGGUUGCUUGCCUUUCCAGAGCCUGGUGUGUUAUCGAGUGUGAGAGGAAGGGACCACAGAUAAAUAAAUGUCACCUUCAGGGCAAAUUGCUCACGAAGAGGCACCGUCCGGCUGAGUCUGGCGUCCAUGGGAAUGGAUGGCUUGCAACAGAAGCUUAGCAUUUGAGUCAAGAUAACAGUCUGCAGGCUCCACAAAGGAGCAUUUGUUUCCUAUGUGACUAGAGCCUGCAAGCAGUUUCCAGCUGCUUUUCUCCGAAGAUACUGUCGUUCAGCGCCCGUGUCAAAGCACAGACCACAAUGAGGGAAAUCAGGAAACAAAAAUCUGAAUAAAACAGCCUCCCCACGGCUCCUGAAAACACCCAGCACUUCAGAGGAAAAGAAAAAUGCUUGAAAGGAUGUGGGAACUGCUCUCUCACUCAGGAAAGAAAAGCACCUACUCAACCUGAAUUUUGAAGUCCCAGGAAAGAAAGGACCAAAUUGUAUUUUGUUUGCUUCCUAUUCCCGUCCUCUCUGAGCCUUAGUCCGAAGCUGGUGGAGGGAAAAUUUACUACCUUUUAAACAGAAUCUCUUUUCUCUGUCAAGUUGUAAAUUGUUUCAAAGAGCUUUUCAUGAUUUUUAAUUUCACCGACAUGAAAUUGGUAAUUAUUUAUGUCUUAUCAUGCCUGAGACAAGAUUUCUGGAGAUACAAGCUAAUUUAGAAGUGAGGUAAUUUCUCUUGAAAUGAAAGUUUACUUCUUAAUCAUGGGAAGAUUUAUCCUGGCUCUUUCUGGGUCUUGCAUAUAAAGUGAAAGUCCUGAAGAAGGCUUUCUCCAUUCAAAUUUUAAGAAAACAGAUGCAUUCAUAGUAAGGAGAUUCUUUCUCUCUCUCUUAGAUAGAUGGACAGAAGAUAGAUAAAUAGAUAGAGGAUAGAUAUGUAGAGAGUAGAUAGAUAACUAGGUAUAGACUAGUUUGUUUAUAAAUCACAGGUCAACUGUAUAAAUCAUUGGUUCACUCAGAAAAUGAACGUACCUUAUACCUAGGAGCUGGACUUAACCUUGUGCCCAGACAGGAGGAUCCAAAACCCUGGGCCUCUGGUACAGUUCAGGUUAUGUGUUUUAUUUAAAAACAGUGAUUAGUGUAAAUUAAAGAAGAAAUAAGCAGGGAGACUGGUGGCUCAGUUGGUUGAGCGUCUGACUCUUGAUUUGGGCUCAGGUCAUGAUCUCAUAGUUUGUGAGUUUGAGCCCCGCGUUGGGCUCUGUGCUGACAACGUGGGGCCUACCUGGGAUUCUCUGUCUGCCCCUCCCUGGCUCUCUCUCUCUGUCUCUCUCUCACUCUGCCUCUCAAAAUGUUUUUUAAAAAGAAGAAGAAAUAAGCUACUAAGCAUAGCAUUUUAUUUCUGCCUGGCAAAGUGGCUGGAUCUUACUAUGAAAUUAGUUGUCACCAUGGGCCUGAGCUGGGUAACUGUUAAUGAAUGUCACACAGGGCACUGUGUUCCUUCCUGCUGGUCAAGGGGUGGCUCUCCACACAACAAGACUUGUUUAUGGAAAGCCGAAACCCAUGCAUACAUGCCAUUCAAAAACACAGAAUCGUGGGGCGCCUGGGAGCUCAGUCGGUUGAGCGUCCGACUUGGGCCCAGGUCAUGAUCUCAUGGUUCGUGGGUUCAAGCCCCACGUCAUGCUCUGCACUGACAGCUGGGAGCCUGGAGCCUGCUUCAGAUUCUGUGUCUCCUUCUCUCUCUGUCCCUCCCCUGCUCGUGCUCUGUCUGUCUGUCUCUGUCUCUGCCUCUUCCUCUCUCUCUCAAAAAUAAAUACACGUUAAAAAAAAGUAACCUCUGGCCAGGACACCUGGGAAAUUCAGAAAAAGGGCAGCGGGGAGAAGGGUCUGAAUUAUGUAAUAUAGAGGGUCCUAGAAACCGCACUGGGUGACUUCCAUGAAGCGUCCAAAGUCACCACUCAGUGGCUCACUAGCCACUGCUGUAGGGAGGCCCUAGUAAGUGCACCUGAUUGAAGAUGUAAGGCAGGACGCAAUCUCACAUGGUGCUGAGAAUAGAGACAGGUGUGUGGGAGGGAUGCCAUGGAAGCCAGAGCAGAGCAAGAGACAUUCUCUCCCAGAGACCAGAGAGACUCCCUUGCAAUCACAUCUUACAACUUGUGCUGUCACCGAGAGGCAGUUCUCAUCCCUUCUGCGGUGAAAAUGAGAGCGGCCAGGAAGCGCUUCCUGGUUGCAGGGGACUCUCCAUCACUAGGAGGCUCCUUGUAUUAGAACUGGUGCCUUUGAUUCCUUUAGCCAGUAGGAGGCUGUUGCUCCUUCUUGCGAGUCCCUAUGCCCCAUAAACACCGUCACCUACCCAGAGCCACACAGUCAGUGUGUGGUAGGUAGCACUGCUGGGAUUUGAGCUGACAUGUGUCUCCGAAAUCCACAUUCUGUCCAUGAGCCAGCCCUGGGGAGGGGGUGCGACUGCUGUGAAAGGCCAGAAGAGUGAAUAGAAAUGCGCGGUGCCGUUCUCACCAAAAUAGAAUCCUUAUUGAUCAGUAUGGAUUGCCAUUCAGAGUCUGAGCAACACGUCUUCAAGCCCCAGGGAGCUUAAUAGGAGUAAGUUUGGGCCAAGCUUCGCUACGUGCGUAUCUCAUUUUGAUUGUCUCUUCAGUAUUUGCUUCGAGUUUUAUUAAAA